rnacentral:lncRNA from 1 species
ACUAGACACGUUGCUGGUCAUUUUGGUAUUGAGUUUGCAUUUUUAGCAUUUUUGGUUGUUGAGAUAUGAUCUGGUUAAUGUAGGUGUGACAAUGUGUGUCACACCUUUGCUUGCUCAAUUUGUUGAUUUUCUUUGCCAUGCAUCAUUUUGGUAUUGAGUUUGCAUUUUUAGCAUUUUUGGUUGUUGAGAUAUGAUCUGGUUAAUGUAGGUGUGACAAUGUGUGUCACACCUUUGCUUGCUCAAU